rnacentral:sRNA from 1 species
CGGCGUCGUGCGAGAGAGCGAACUAGAGC